rnacentral:rRNA from 1 species
UACGUAGGGUGCAAGCGUUGUCCGGAAUUAUUGGGCGUAAAGAGCUUGUAGGCGGUUUGUCGCGUCUGCUGUGAAAUUUCGGGGCUCAACCCCGAACUUGCAGUGGGUACGGGCAGACUAGAGUGUGGUAGGGGAGACUGGAAUUCCUGGUGUAGCGGUGAAAUGCGCAGAUAUCAGGAGGAACACCGGUGGCGAAGGCGGGUCUCUGGGCCGAUACUGACGCCGAGGAGCGAAAGCGUGGGGAGCAAACAGG